GACGAACCGAGCGAACGUUGUUCGGAAUCACUGGGCUUAAAGCGCACGUAGGCGGAUUGCUAAGUCAGGGGUGAAAUCCUGGAGCUCAACUCCAGAACUGCCUUUGAUACUGGCGAUCUCGAGUCCGGGAGAGGUGAGUGGAACUGCGAGUGUAGAGGUGAAAUUCGUAGAUAUUCGCAAGAACACCAGUGGCGAAGGCGGCUCACUGGCCCGGUACUGACGCUGACGGUGCGAAAGCGUGGGGAGCAAACAGG
rnacentral:rRNA from 1 species